UUUUGAAUCACUGAAUCAACCUAACACCUCCAAACCCUAAAACAUUGGCCAGCUCCUUUCUCUCCCAAACUCUUGCGCCGCUCGCCACUCGGACCUUGACUCUCGCUUCGGUCGACGGCGCCGAUAGCACGCCGCCACCACUUCAGCCUUUUCCCAUUUUCUGUCGGCGUAGAAGAAUCACAAUUCACCAGUCAGUCCCAUCCUAUCCACCGAUCAAGGGCUCUUCUCCGGUCGGCCGCGACUCCCCACCACCAACCCCAGUCUUUAGUCGCCGGUUUAGAAGUCAAAACCAACUCCCCAGAAUCGGUUCUCCUUCAACUCUUUAAGAAUGUCUUCUUCAAAAACUCCGGGAUAUGGAGCUGAAGAUGCAAUCCCUGCAGCUGCAAUCUCCACCAAGGCUGCUCAAAAUGCUACACAUCAUCCACAUGAGAAUAAUGAGUCCACGUCAAAGAUUCGAAAAGGAAAGAAAACUUCACCAGCUUGGGAUCACUUCACUCCCUUUACUGACGAAGACGGAGCACCGAGAGUUAAGUACAAUUAUUGUGGUGAAAGAGUACUGCGCAGAUACAAAAAAAAAUAGUACGACAUGUAUGAUGAAACAUUUGAAAAGAUGUACUAAGCUUCCUCGUUGUGUUGGUAUUAGACAAACUCAAUUGUCUCUGCAACCUAUAACUGAGGGUGAAGGGGAGACUGUGGGUGAACUUAAAAGUUGAAAGUUUGAUCAGGAGCUGUGUUGGAGGAAAUUAAUUGAGAUGAUAAUUAAGGAUGAAUUUCCUUUUAGGGUAGUUGAAUGAGAGGGUUUUAAGGAAUUUGUUAAGAAUUUGCAA